rfam:Rhizobium sp. Leaf306 contig_4, whole genome shotgun sequence.
CGGCGGGACACUCCUCCCCAACGAGGAGCCAAUUACCUGGAAGGGUAUACAUA